rnacentral:rRNA from 1 species
GACGAACGCUGGCGGCGUGCUUAACACAUGCAAGUCGAACGGAGAAUUUUAUUUCGGUGAAAUUCUUAGUGGCGAACGGGUGAGUAACGCGUAGACAACCUACCUCUCAGAUGGGGACAACAUCGCGAAAGCGGUGCUAAUACCGAAUGAUGUAACUUUUCUGCAUGGAAGAGUUACCAAAGGCUGCAUCUCUUUAUAAGCUGUCACUGAGAGAGGGGUCUGCGUCUGAUUAGCUGGUUGGCGGGGUAAAGGCCCACCAAGGCGACGAGCAGUAGCCGGUCUGAGCGGAUGAACGGCCACAUUGGGACUGAGAGACGGCCCAAACUCCUACGGGAGGCAGCAGUGGGGAAUCUUCCGCAAUGGACGAAAGUCUGACGGAGCAACGCCGCGUGAGUGAAGGAGGUUUUCGGAUCGUAAAGCUCUGUUGUUUGAGACGAACGUGCAAUUUUUGAAUAAGGAAUUGUAAUGACGGUAUUAAACGAGAAAGCCACGGCUAACUACGUGCCAGCCGCCGCGGUAACAC